UGCUGAUGAUCAAGAUGUGGCUCUCAGCUGCCGCUCCAGAGCUGUGCCUGCCGACCUGAUCCCUGCCCUGAUGGCCACGGACUCCUGACUCUCUGAAACUGCAAGCCCCAAUUAAAUGCCCGCUUCUAGAACCUGUGUUUCAAACUAAAGGUCAAAGAGGAGAUGAAUUUCAGUUGUGAGCUACAGAAGGCCGGAUCUUUCUCUAAUGUGAUUUGCUUCCUGUUGCUAAAGCCCAGUCCCUUCAAAGGAGACUGCUAACUAAAUGAGGCAUCUCCUUGCCUUCGUCCCUGGGAUGAAGUAGAGUAAGCAGCAUCAGUGUGACAGGCCAAGAAGCUUUAUUUAUUCCCUGUGGAUAUCAACAUGUCACCCGAGAGGCUGGAGUGACAGAGGUGACCCAUAGCCUAGGGAGAAAAUGGCCUGGAUCUUUGACAGAAGUAAGCAGUGUACAGUUCCUCUUGGGAGGAGGGAGAGGGGGUUACAAUGAGGAAGUCGUAUCCAUUCCACUGAGCAAUUAAUGCCACUAAUUUUCUUGAAAAAACAUUUUCUUUCAAGCUACAGAGGCUAUUUUAACCCCCAUCUAGAUGCAAUGCACUAAUGACUGCUAAUGGAUACAUUCUUUUAAUAAAUAAAGAGGCACAAGAAA